rnacentral:rRNA from 1 species
AUUGAACGCUGGCGGAAUGCUUUACACAUGCAAGUCGAACGGCAGCACGGACUUCGGUCUGGUGGCGAGUGGCGAACGGGUGAGUAAUACAUCGGAACGUGCCCAAUCGUGGGGGAUAACGUAGCGAAAGCUACGCUAAUACCGCAUACGAUCUAAGGAUGAAAGCGGGGGAUCGCAAGACCUCGCGCGAUUGGAGCGGCCGAUGGCAGAUUAGGUAGUUGGUAGGGUAAAGGCCUACCAAGCCGACGAUCUGUAGCUGGUCUGAGAGGAUGAUCAGCCACACUGGGACUGAGACACGGCCCAGACUCCUACGGGAGGCAGCAGUGGGGAAUUUUGGACAAUGGACGCAAGUCUGAUCCAGCCAUUCCGCGUGCAGGAUGAAGGCCCUCGGGUUGUAAACUGCUUUUGUACAGAACGAAAAGGCCCUGGUUAAUACCUAGGGCUCAUGACGGUACUGUAAGAAUAAGCACCGGCUAACUACGUGCCAGCAGCCGCCGUAAUAC